CGCGUCACGUUUGGAAAAUCCCGUGGCCGUGGGAUCAUUUUCCUUUCCCGCUUCUCGACUUCCCCAAUCGGCCACCCCCCACCCCCUCCUUCCUUCCUGGCCAGCGCGGCGGCUAUGGCCUCCAUGACCACACCUCGGCUCCCCUUCCUCCCCGCCCGAACCCGCUCCGCCGUCGCCGCCUCCUCCUCUUCGUCCCCCUCCUCCCCGCUACCACGCCUCUCCAUCAAAUGCAGCAGCUCCGCCAACGCUAACUCGGCCCCCCUCCCUUCUACAUCGCGGCAGCCCCGGGCGCCCGUGGCGGACGGCGUAGGGUCCGCCGACCUCAACGGCCUCCGGGCCCCGCCUAUACCUGUCGCCGACUCCCCUCUGCCCGCGUACCGCGAUCCGCACGGGCUGCCUCGGCCUCUCACUAGUGCGGAUCUAAUGGAGUCGAGCGGGGAGGGGCUCAAGGUUGCCUACCAGGGCUUCCCUGGAGCGUACAGCGAGGCUGCAGCAAAGAAGGCCUAUCCAAAUUGCCAGACAGUGCCCUGCGAGCACUUUGAUACUGCAUUUCAGGCUGUUCAAAACUGGAUAGUUGAUAGGGCGGUACUGCCACUUGAGAAUACUCUGGGUGGUAGUAUACAUCGGAACUAUGACCUUUUACUUCGGCAUGAACUGCACAUAGUUGGAGAGGUUCGCCUUGCAGUUCGGCAUUGCUUGUUAGCCAAUCGUGGAGUGAAGAUCGGGAACCUAAGAAAUGUCAUUAGUCAUCCCCAGGCUCUUGCGCAAUGUGAGCAUACGCUGACAGAGUUAGGAAUUGAACAUAGACAGGCCGUUGAUGACACUGCUGGUGCAGCAAAGUUAGUCGCAGAACAAAUGCUCCAAGACACUGGUGCUGUUGCCAGUUCAUUAGCUGCUGAACUUUAUGGACUCGAUAUUCUUGCUGAAAAUAUUCAGGACGAAAAAGUCAAUGUCACCCGUUUUAUGAUGCUUGCUCGGGAACCUAUUAUACCCCGGGUUGAUAAGCCAUUCAAGACUAGUAUUGUGUUUUCACUUGAAGAAGGACCUGGACAGCUCUUCAAGGCACUUGCAGUUUUUGCACUGAGGGAAAUCAACCUCACCAAGAAAGCCGUCCACACAAGAAAAGGCCUUUUCGUGUAGCUGAUGAUGCUUUCUCCACGCGAGUCAAGUACUUCGACUACCUGUUUUAUGUCGAUCUUGAGGCGUCUAUGGCUGAUCCAAAAACUCAGAAUGCUCUCAGAAAUUUGGAGGAGUUUGCAACCUUUUUAAGAGUCCUGGGGAGCUAUCCUACAGACGUGAGCGAAGCUUGAAUAGCAAGUGCUUGCUGCAGAUCACAUGUUAGUGAUUAAUCAAUUGUGUGCCUUUUUCUUAAUCGGAUAAACAUCCGCCUUUUGAUAGCUGUUGUUUGGUGUAAUGAAAUAAACAUAGUUCUCCAUUAUAGAGUCAGAAACAUGUAGCUCUCAGAGCAUAUUUCCUAGUACUUGGAUUGGGACUUGAGCAGUCUUAUUACUCAUAAAAUGUACGUGGGUAGUCCACAGCAGAAUAGUGGAUAUACUCCCGGGGAUUGUUCAGGUUGAGUACAAUGUAGAAUCAGAAUACUGAA